GGCAUCCCGGGGGGAGGAAAGGAGCGAUCCGGACAGGGAUGGGCAUGCGGCGCAUUAGCUGGUCGGCGGGGUAACGGCCCACCGAGGCGACGAUGCGUAGGGGUUCUGAGAGGAAGGCCCCCCACACUGGUACUGAGACACGGACCAGACUCCUACGGGAGGCAGCAGUGAGGAAUAUUGGUCAAUGGGCGGGAGCCUGAACCAGCCAAGCCGCGUGAGGGAAGAAGGUACAGCGUAUCGUAAACCUCUUUUGUCAGGGAACAAAGGCGGGGACUAGUCCCCGGAUGAGGGUACCUGAAGAAAAAGCAUCGGCUAACUCCGUGCCAGCAGCCGCGGUAAUACGGAGGAUGCGAGCGUUAUCCGGAUUUAUUGGGUUUAAAGGGUGCGCAGGCGGCCUGUUAAGUCAGCGGUAAAAGCCCGGGGCUCAACCCCGGCGAGCCGUUGAAACUGGCGGGCUGGAGUUGGAGAGAAGUACGCGGAAUGCGCGGUGUAGCGGUGAAAUGCUUAGAUAUCGCGCAGAACCCCGAUUGCGAAGGCAGCGUACCGGCUCCACACUGACGCUGAGGCACGAAAGCGUGGGUAUCGAACAGGAUUAGAUACCCUGGUAGUCCACGCAGUAAACGAU
rnacentral:rRNA from 1 species